GCAUGAUUUUUGAUUUAUGGCAGGCAUGUCACCCUAGGUCUCUCAUAGUGUCCCACACCGGAGCAAACUGGCUCCUAAGCCUUGCCUGGCUUCUGUGCCUGUAGGCUGCUGGCACUGAAGUGGGUUACACUGUG
ensembl:snoRNA